GUAGGCCAAGGUUUCUUUGUUUACCUGUUUUCUUGUACUUUUCAAAGCAAACUGCUUAAGUCACUCUAAUCCAAUGUCAUGACUUGGGGAAGCUUGAACUGGGACUUUCCAAGCAUGUGAGAUUAGUUACAUACUAUUUAUGUUACAGCUCUGUUUUGCUCUCCUUGCUCAUACAUCCUCUUUGGGCUUGCUCUCUAUCCUGACAUUAGGCUGCAAGUAUUUUUCCUCAGGCACAGCAAGUAUAGAAGUUAGAUACGAGACUGGGAAGCAGAUGGAGCACUCACCAUCUUUUCUCACCUGAGGUUUUCUAGGGAAAGGACAGCUCCACAAUGAGGUUAUGGACAGCUUUGGAAAGUACAACACAGAAGUUCUACUGAAGUUGUCCCCCUUUCGAUCAACGUGGGGUUUUCCCCACCCCACACUUUCUAGCUCUUCCAAGCAUGGAAACUGGGAAACAAUGGAAAAAAUGAGGCAGCCUGCCCUCUCAGAAGACAUUUUGUAAUGUCACUCUGCUUGCCUGCUCACAGCCCGCAGGUGAUGUUGAUCGUGUUUACAGGAAAUGCCGUGAGUAAUUUGCAAAGUGAAAGCAGCUUACACUGGGUGAGGGCCUGUCUGAUGGAACAGAGCCAUGCUGCGUUUCUGGGCUCAUGGGCUGGAGAGGAGCAGCCUGGGAGGAGGUUGUGUAACAAUUCUUCCAAUACUGGUGUAUUGGAAGGACAGCUUGAGGCCAAUGUGACUCUGUCAAAAGGCCUUGCUUAGCAUUGCCACCUUCCUGGAGGAGGCAAAUUCUAGACCCUUUUACACCUCAUCCUUUUUGCCCUCACUCUCUUGUAUAAUCUUGAAUCCAAGAUGCAGCACAGCCUCAGCCCAACAGAACAUACAAGUUAUCUCCUGAAGGACUUGAGGCACCUCUGUCUCUCUCUUCUGGAUGUGGCUCUGGGCAGCCUGGUCUGGUGGUUGGCGACCCUGCACAUAGCAGGGGGGUUGAAACUACAUGAUCAUUGUGGUCCUUUUCAACCCAGGCCAUUCUAUGAUUCUAUGAUUCUCCCUACAUCCUUCUCCUUCCCCCAGUGUAACACUCUACUAACUGCACUCUCCAGACACAAUCUGGAAAGCAUAAGCACCACAGUGCAGAAAAGGCUUGUGCAUCCUUUGCAGAUGCCUACAGCUCCUGGAGACAGCAUGUGGCUGCUGAGCUCCCCAGGUAGUCCUGCUCAUGGCUCGGUGCAAUUCCUGAGUGUGCUGGGAGACCUCCUCCCUUCCCAUGUUUCCUUGAAAUCCUCUACUUCUCAGUCAGAGUGCAAAUCUGGGUUAUAUCAUGUAAUUUCUUCCCAGUAAAUGCUGGUCUCUCCACUCACUCUUUGCAUCACCCACUGUCUGCUGUGGUUCCCAGGCUGGUUGUGUUUUUUUUCCCAGCCUGUGAAGGUCUGACGAUGCUAGUGAAAUUACACAAGGCACAAAUGAGGAGAAUGGAGUAGAAGCCCAAAGAUGUGCCUCCUAGCAGGAUUUAUCUGGGGAGCUCCUUCCCUGUCCGCAGAGCGUAGCAACCUGCCAGGGACAUGGAGGCACAUAGAAGGAGGUGCAGAAGAAACAAGGAGGAAUGUGGAGGAAGAUGGAGGACUUUGAAGUAAUGUUGAGGGAGAUGGUUCCUUAGGAUGUGUCUCAAUGGGCAGGUGAGGGCAGACCCAAAUUAAUUGCACCCACACCACAUCACUCAGGUGCAAGGCACUUCUAGCCCAGAAGCUGUGUGACUCUGCAGGCAGCACUGUGCCAACAUGGGGCAAAACCUGCAGUUUGGCUCAAUACCCACCUGGCGUUGGAUGCAAACAAACCUGUGAGUCCUACACCAAGUCUACAUCUUGGCCUGCCUUCUUCAGUUCACUCCGUUGGUACAGCUGGGCUCUCAGUGAACCAGAAAGUGUGAGGUUUGCCAGAACUGAAGAGCGUGUGAAUGGGUUUGUGGAGCUAAGCCUGCCUGAACUGGAGGGCUUUUGCAUGACUGUGAAGGAAAGAGCUUAAUUCUUCUUUAUGACCUGCUUCAAACAAAGCUACAGCAACCAAAUGGACCGUGCUGUGUGAAACCCAACAUCAUGCUCGUCCCAGCAGACUGACGGAGAUCAAAAAUUACCUUAUCACCUGGAGGUCUGCAGAGAAGCCAAGAGAUGUUGAAACCUCCACCACCUCCAACAUCAAAGGCUGCAGCAGGUAUCUUUCCAGGUGCUUUUUCACAGCCAGCCUCAGUGAAAGCUCCCAUUCAAAAGGCAGUAACUCGGGAACAUUAGGUGUAGCUUCUGGUGGCUGAACCGGUUAAAGUUACCCUUCAAUGUCACCAGAAUAGCACACUAAAAGGGGAAAUUCAAGGAGGAAAACAAAAAGAGUCCUACCUAGGGGAUUGGCUGCUUUACAGGGGCUGGUAAUGAGAUCAUACUGCCAUGAUUCAAGGUCACAAAUUUGACUUUAGAUAAGGUGUAGCAACAGCCUCAAUCUGUAAUGGUGACUGUUCAGCAGCCUGUGUGACAUUAAUGGGUAGUCUCUUGUAGCCUUUUAAUUUAACAAGGUGAUUGCUAUAAGUUUUGUAAAAAAAUACCUCCAAACACAACUACUAAAAUGAGCUGGCGUGUGAUAGUGAACAACAAAGUUCACUGAAGCCUUUUGUACUGAUGCAUUGAAUGAUGAUGUAUUCACACCACUUUGCUGUUCUUUGUUAGAGCUUUAGGGCAGAGAUGUUAACAAAGGAUGUUCUGUGUAUUUGCAACAUAACAAAAUAAAAGAUUUUUUUUCCAGUAGGGCAUAACUACUAUCACAUAUGACUCUAACUUUAAAUGUGCCAUAAGGUAGCAGCACUGUCCAGAAGCUAGGCCUCUUCUACCUUUCAGCUUGCUGAGAACAACUUGUCUGAAAAGAUGCAGGCUGCUUUCUGCUCUGUACCUUUGUGCAGGGAGAAUUCAGAGUUCCUGGUGCAGUCCCAUCGUGCUGUGCUCGCCUCCUUUAGAGUUCACUGUAUUAAAGAUGAAGGUAUUGGUAACAUUCAAUUUCAGCUUUCAUAUAUAUAUAUUUUACCUAUUGUAAAAUACUUUCAGUACUGCUGUACUGCAGCAGCCUAUUCAUUUAUGUGCUUUUAGGCACCUUUGGGUAACAGAAAUUACACCUAUCAGCAACAAUGGAAUGACAGACCAAAAACAAACCUAUCAAAUCUCUCAUUUCUGUAAAAGCAGGGCGAAAAAAGACUGAAAAUGGUGCCCUCUGCUUUCUGGUGAUCUUAUGCAUUCAUCAACAAGGUGCCCCAAAUCCAUUCUUAACUACGGCUAUAAUCUCGUGUAACAAAGGUACCUCCUGGGUACUGGUGAGAGACUUGUAGGAUGUGUUUAUUAUGAUUAAAUCUCUGAUAAGUUAAUUUUGGUUCUGGCAAAUAUUCCUAUGAUUUGCUCUGGGCAAACAAAAAAGCCACUAUACUUUGUUGCUGUAGGUGCAGUCCUGAUGUCUCAUUCUGUGUAUAAAACAGAGAUUUUUGAAUAUUGGAGAAUCUGCAGCCCAAAAAAGCCUGCUGGGGAGCAGAAGACACACUGGUAGGUGACAAAAACAGAGUUCACUGACUGCAGUUUGCAAAAUGCCAUAGGUUAUUUCUGUUUAUUGCCUGGGAUUGUACAAGAAGAUCAGAAUUUAAGCUUGGACGUUCUUGGAUAUUUUCCCCGUGAGAUUUGCGUCUGCACAGAGAGAAUGUUAUAAUAUGCUUUCUUCUCCUUGGAGAAGGGAUGAUAUCCCCUUGGCAACAUGAGUGAUCACUUAAAUGGAACAAUAACAUUAAGCAAGUGUUUGCAGAUGCCCUUCAGGGUGCUUUAGCAUCUGGAAACAAGAGAAGGAGUGGUAAGCAUUAUAUGGGUAAGCGAUUAGGAAGACAGAAAUGUGCUUGGGAGAGAGACACAUAUUUCAGAAAUGGAAUUAUUCCAUAAAAAGUGUCAAAAACGUACCUUUAAGUGAGCAGUUUGGGAGGAUGUUCUGUAGACUACUUAUGACGUGACUACUGAAUAUGAGGGAUUUGCCCCUUUCUCUGUGGUGUGAGACAUUGUCUGAGAAAAGACUGAUCCGGUUCAGGGUCUGCCCAGACAGGGAAUACCUCAGUCAGUGACUCUCAGUGAAUAACAUUUCUGUGCUCAGUGCCUUUUCCCAGUCUUGGGAGGAAAUGAAUAACAAGUACAGCUACCUUUUUGGCAUCUCUACGUGCAACAAGUUAGGGUAGCGUUUUCAGCUAAGGUUAAGGGGAAAGCUCCAGCAGGAACAAGGAGACUUGUACAGCAACUCUUGGACCCAGUUGCCAUUCAGCUCAGAAAUAGUUCUCUGCAAGGCUUCUGCUAACUUUAACAAUUUGUCCCUUGCACUGGUGGAAGGCUGUCGGGAUCUGUGGGCCCCUGGAUCCAUGGUGGUUAGGUGGAAUUGCACUUCACACAGUGCCAUCCCUUGCAGAAUUAUGGGCUUUAACUCAACUCUGUGGAUUCAUUCCUUGCUACCUCCCCACUGGCCUUUCUGGCUGCCACAAAACUCAGAUUUUCACCUAUGCAAAGUUCAAAGGGGCUGCUCACUGUGAGUUCCACUUUCCAAGGUAGCACUUUCCCUCAGACAAAAGAAUGGAAGGUUGGUGCCUCCAGCAAGGAGCAGAGAAGGGCUGGAGCACAGACCGUACUGCAGUUGAAGAAGGCAAUUACUGUUAUGAGGCCAGAACAAGCAGCUAAAAUAUGGAAGUCAGGCAACUUGGUCAAAUUGGAGUUUGACAUAAAGAACGUGAUAGUGCCAAUUCGAUGUUCUGUUUUUUUUUUCCUUGGUGGAUCAUUUUUUUCCCUGCUUUUCACAUUUUUAUUACUUUUUUUUUUUUUUUUAAACAUGAACUGUUUAGAAGGUCAAAACUUUAAGAGGCAAAACAGGUAGAGAAAUUGCAAAUAAUGUUGGUGCUCUAAUGCCUAUUCCUAAGAACCUGUGAUGUAAAAAGUCUCAGAAGUCGCAGUUCAAGUGUUCUUUGCAUGUCCUCUAUUGCAUGUCAAGCAUGCAGUAUGUCUAUUGCAUAGACCUCUACAUCUAGCUGGUCCUCUAUUGCUUUUGUUUUUAGGAUUCAUGUUUGCAUGUAGUCAAAUUUACAUGAUGUUUUAUGCAUCCAGAAGAGUUAACAUCCUCCCUUUUCUUUCACGUCGAAUGGAUGCUAUGGUUUUAUGUGGGGAUGAGCAACACUUACGACAGAUAAGCUGACAAAACACAGCAAAAUCCUGGGUGUCUGCAACAUCAACAGUUAGGCUGGUGUUUCCAUGUCCCUGCUGAGGAUGGAAAAUGUUUUGCCAUCACUCUUCCUACAUACACAGUCCCAAAGUGUUCAGAAGGGCUACAUUUCUAGUGAAAUGAUCUUCAAGUGUUGUGUUGUCAUGAUAGAGAGAAGAUGGACUCAGUUCUCAGAGACCACAUUACAAUACGGAGCUUGUAGCUGAGCUUCAGUAGGAUGUUUUUAACAGUCUGAUAUCUGGAAAGUCUUUUUUCCUAAGUGGUCAGUUACUGCAAGCAAAAUGACCUUCUCCUCCUUUUGUCAGGAUUAAUUCCUGCAAACCAUACUGUAUUUUUCUCUAUGCUUGUCUGCUAACUAUGUAGAAAGUGCUAAGCAAUCGUGCAUAAUUCAUUACUCUUAAUUAAAAUGUAAAUUUAUUGUCAGCCUUUUGGGGUAAUUAAAGCACCACUGUGAGAAUAGGUUUGUGUUCUGUAUCUUUUGCAAAAAUAAACAAAUAACGUUUUAUGUUCUGCUUGAAGAGGUGCAGUUGAUCACCAAGUGGGACGCAACUGAACUUCCAGAGAAGGUCUGUCAGUUAGCAUAUAUCUAAUAUUCAACAGGGUGUGAAUCUACUUUGCUAUAAAGUGAGCUGUCUUAUUUGCUGCGGAGUUAGAUGCUUGUGUUUCGGUUUUUGGCAUAGAUGGAAAGUAUUAUUUAUAGGUAUACUUCUACAUUCCCCCCCAAAAUCCAGACUAUUUUAUUGGCCUCCAGCUGCUCCUCAGAAGCCUACAGAGAUACAUUCGAUGUAUUGCAGUGCCUACUGUAAACACCCUAUUUACCAGAGCAUUUGCAGGUUAGAUUAGGCUUCAUAAUUUAUAGACCUUGAAGCUCCCCAUGCAGUUGGGUAUCUACGAAGUGAAGGACUAAGUGCAUGAAAAAAACAAUCUUCCACAAGGAAGUGGGGUAGUGAAAGGGUGCGCAGCGUGAGACUUAGUAGUAAUUGUAGUAGAAUUGUCCUUGAAGUUUUGCAGAAUGUAGUGACGGCGAUCUUGAGACUGUGGAUGAAGAGUGGAUAUUAGGAAACAUUUCUUCUCAGGAAGAGUGGUGAGGCGCUGGCACAGGCUGCC
ensembl:lncRNA